rnacentral:rRNA from 1 species
GGGGAAUAUUGGGCAAUGGACGAAAGUCUGACCCAGCAACGCCGCGUGAAGGAAGAAGGCUUUCGGGUUGUAAACUUCUUUGACAGGGGAAGAGUAGAAGACGGUACCCUGAAAACAAGCCACGGCUAACUACGUGCCAGCAGCCGCGGUAAUACGUAGGUGGCAAGCGUUAUCCGGAAUUACUGGGUGUAAAGGGCGCGUAGGCGGGUGUGCAAGUUAGAUGUGAAAACCUGGAGCUCAACUCCAGACUGGCAUCUAAAACUGUACAUCUUGAGUGUCAGAGGGGAAAGUGGAAGUCCUAGUGGAGCGGUAAAAUGCGUAGAGAUUAGGAGGAACAUCGGUGGCGAAGGCGACUUUCUGGCUGACAACUGACGCUGAGGCGCGAAAGCGUGGGGAGCGAACA